AUCCAGAUGACGAGUCCCAAGUAGGACGAAACGCGUGUCCUGGAU
rnacentral:hammerhead_ribozyme from 1 species